AAACCAUGAUGAGGACACUCUAAGAGAAGAUCCUUAAAACGUUCCAUACACCUAGAAAAUGAUUCAUUGGGUUUUUGAUGAAAUUGGAGAAUGUCGUUCCUAAGUUU
rfam:Cephalotus follicularis DNA, scaffold: scaffold271, isolate: St1.